AUUUAGAAUGUGUUCGUGUAAUAUAUUGACAAGUUAUGUACAACUAUUAGAACGUGUUCAUGUGACAUAUAAACAUGCAUUAUGUACUAUUAUUAGAAAGUGUUCAAAUGAUAAAUAUGUUAUUUACUACAAUUAGAGUGUUCACAUGACAUAUUGACAUGUUAUGCCCAACUGUCAGAGCAUGUUCCCAUUAAAUAUAAACAGGAUAUGCACAACAAUUACCAGAUUUUACUAAUUUCAUGACGGUGAGUAUUGUGCUUUCUCUUUCUUUAUUCUACCUCAGCAGCAAAGAAAAAAUGUAUAAACAUUAAAGAAACCAAACUAGACUAAGUACUCAAAGGGUUAACAUAGUCUGCUAUCCUUAACCAAUAGGAACAGUCCUUCUAUCCAUAACCACCCAUGUGACCUCUCCUCUCCCUCUUUCUUUGAUCCUGCCGAAAUCUUAGAAUCUUGCGUAGGUAAUUUGAAUCAUAACCGGUGCGUCGUUAUCUUCUCCAUAACAAAACAUGAACAUUAUCCAAUCGAACGGAGACGAUAACCACUCAUCCACUUCAUCAACUUGAAGUCGUUAAGCUGAAACGGGAGAGAAAAGGAAUAUGGUAACGUGUGGUCUAGCGACUGUUUGUUACAUACUCCACAAGCAUUCCUUAUUAUACUUGACAACCUCUACAGACUACCUUACCUGCUGUAGACUUCCUUAUGUCACAUGCCUCAAUCCUACUAUUCCCUAAACGUCAUACCAACCUCAUCAUAAUUAUCUUAGCAAUACAACUUACUGGGUGGGAGUUCGGAUCUCUUCUUUCAUCUAAUACCAACUUCACGGUACUUACCAUGUUAUCUCCGCGAUCCUUCUCGGGUGGGCCAAUACUCGCCUCUGUGUCCUUUAUAAAAUCAUGACUUUACG